GUAGUCUGCAACCCGACUACAUGAAGCUGGAAUCGCUAGUAAUCGCAGGUCAGCAUACUGCGGUGAAUACGUUCCCGGGUCUUGUACACACCGCCCGUCACACCAUGAGAGUCGAUAACACCCGAAGCCUGUAGUCUAACCAUAAGGGGGACGCAGUCGAAGGUGGGAUUGAUAAUUAGGGUGAAGUCGUAACAAGGUAUC
rnacentral:rRNA from 1 species